GGCUCAAUGGUCUAGGGGUAUGAUUUUCGCUUCGGGUGCGAGAGGUCCCGGGUUCAAAAAUCCCGGUUGAGCCC
rnacentral:tRNA from 1 species